rnacentral:pre_miRNA from 1 species
ACAUAAAUCACCAGGGAUCUUAUUAAAAUGUAGAUUCUAAUUCAGUGGAACUGGCUGAAUUCUGAGAAUUCUGUAUUUCUAAUAAGCUCUCAAGUGAUGCUAAU